GCGACAACAGAGCCGUGCCCUAGCAACGAUCCUUAAGGUCACGGAUUGGGCAAUUUCUUUUGGAGACAACCGAUUGAGUGAGGUUAUGUGCUCCUGCGGUGGAUCUGGAAUUGGGUUCUGUGGCAGCUUGGUUUCCAGCAGUGUUCUAUGAGGUUGC